CACGUAGGGGGCAAGCGUUGUCCGGAUUUAUUGGGCGUAAAGAGCUCGUAGGUGGUUCGGUAAGUCAGGUGUGAAACCUCCAGGCUCAACCUGGAGACGCCACUUGAUACUGCUGUGACUGGAGUCCGGUAGGGGAGCGUGGAAUUCCUGGUGUAGCGGUGAAAUGCGCAGAUAUCAGGAGGAACACCAGCGGCGAAGGCGGCGCUCUGGGCCGGUACUGACACUGAGGAGCGAAAGCGUGGGCAGCAAACAGG
rnacentral:rRNA from 1 species